CCUACGGGUGGCAGCAGUGGGGAAUAUUGGACAAUGGGCGAAAGCCUGAUCCAGCCAUGCCGCGUGUGUGAAGAAGGCCUUCGGGUUGUAAAGCACUUUCAGUGGGGAAGAAAGCCUUGGGGCUAAUACCCUCGAGGAAGGACAUCACCCACAGAAGAAGCACCGGCUAACUCCGUGCCAGCAGCCGCGGUAAUACGGAGGGUGCGAGCGUUAAUCGGAAUUACUGGGCGUAAAGCGCGCGUAGGCGGUCUGAUAAGCCGGUUGUGAAAGCCCCGGGCUCAACCUGGGGACGGCAUCCGGAACUGUCAGGCUAGAGUGCAGGAGAGGAAGGUAGAAUUCCCGGUGUAGCGGUGAAAUGCGUAGAGAUCGGGAGGAAUACCAGUGGCGAAGGCGGCCUUCUGGACUGACACUGACGCUGAGGUGCGAAAGCGUGGGUAGCAAACAGGAUUAGAUACCCGAGUAGUC
rnacentral:rRNA from 1 species